rnacentral:rRNA from 1 species
AUGAUGGCAAGAUCAUUUGGGCAAAACCAGAAACUUGCUAGUGCAAGUUUUGCAAAACUACAGUUUUGGACAGAAAGAAAAAGGUCUCAUUGCAUGCACUUAAAAUCCUCCAAUGGGUCCAAUCUCCUGGACUUAAGGGUUUUGCAGGGAGGGCUAAAGGCAGGAAAAAGCUCAGGGGCACUAGAGCAAAAUAAGAUAGGGUUGCAGUACAAAUCACCAAACUGGACCAGAAUGAAAAAGGGGUUGAUACACUCAAAUUUUCCAAAGAACAUCACUGGGUUUUGGUAUAAAGUUGAAUUAUAUGCAUCUACUGACAUCUCCAAACACUUGGAAGAAUUUUUAAAGGAAUAUUUAAAUAGGUUGUAG